rnacentral:lncRNA from 1 species
UUCUGUUUUCAUUGCUCUUUCUGGAAGAAUCCAUGGCCAGCCCUGUUGCCAGGGGGCCUAGUGUGACCCUCCUGCCCAUACUGGUAUCUGCUCUCCUGGGCAACAUAGGUUUACAUCCACCAGCAGGAAGACUGUCAGUGGCCAUGGUAGGUAGAUGUCUACACACCAAAUGCCACCCCUGCUUCAAAGACUGACAGAGCACAUCAUGCCACACUGGAGCAAAUCAGGAGCCCAUUGCAAGGUACAGGGAUCUUCCUGACUUGCAAACUGAGACAGCCUCAUUCCAUCAGAGCCUCGAAAGCUGCAGUGUCCACCUCCUGAGCCUUCCUGCCACCACGGUCCAACUCUCGAAGCUUCCUGCUGUGGCAACCAUUUCUAAUGUGCCAGCUUUUCUGGCCUGGUCACAGCAUCCAUAUCGCUCACUAGAUAUGGACCACAGGGACUUGGACAUGCUCAAGAGGAGCAGCUGCACCUUCUUGAAUCACAAUCCAAGGCCUCUCCCAAUGGCAAGCCAAGACUUCAAACAGAGGAUCUCUCUGGGGCCAUCUGGAGCUAGAAGCUAGAGACAGAAUUUAUUCCUGGAGACCCAGAGAACCAGGCCAGACAGAGUCUCUCACUGAGGCAUGGAAUUCACCAGUUAGUCAAGACUGACUGCCACUGACCUCUGAAGAACAUCCCUGCUCUCUCUGACAAGCUCUGGGGUCUUAAGUGCCUGUCACCAUGCCUGCCUUCUCACGUGGGUACAGGGAUUGGAACCUGGGUUAUCAUUCCUACAUGGCAAGCACUUCACCAACUGAGUAUUCCCCUCAGUGCCUUCCAAGGCUUUGAACGUGACAUUUCAGGAAAACAUUUAUUGAGUAAUCCUCAUCAGGCUGGGCACAGAUCUCUUGACAAAGUAAGAAUGCUAAUAACAUUAUUUGGGACUCCAGCUUUGACGUUUCCAACAAUUUCUGGUGCUCGGCUUAACAUACUGAAAAUACUCUCCUACUUCCAACAGAAGUGACAGGCUUUGGGGUCUGGAAGAUGAGGGAACAGCUGGCUGGGUGAAUAGUCAAGAUUGUAAGUUCCCUGCCCCCCCCCCACACACACACACAGUCACACUGUUCCAUGAUGGCAAAACAGCAUCAUUUCAAGGACCAACAGUAUAAAAUACAAAGU